rnacentral:rRNA from 1 species
UACGUAGGGCGCGAGCGUUGUCCGGAAUUAUUGGGCGUAAAGAGCUUGUAGGCGGUUUGUCGAGUCUGCUGUGAAAUUUCGGGGCUCAACCCCGAACUUGCAGUGGGUACGGGCAGACUAGAGUGUGGUAGGGGAGACUGGAAUUCCUGGUGUAGCGGUGAAAUGCGCAGAUAUCAGGAGGAACACCGGUGGCGAAGGCGGGUCUCUGGGCCGAUACUGACGCUGAGGAGCGAAAGCGUGGGGAGCGAACAGG